rnacentral:rRNA from 1 species
UACGUAGGGUGCGAGCGUUUAAUCGGAAUUACUGGGCGUAAAGCGUGCGCAGGCGGUUUUGUAAGCCAGAUGUGAAAUCCCCGGGCUCAACCUGGGAAUGGCAUUUGGGACUGCAAGGCUGGAGUGCGGCAGAGGAGACUGGAAUUCCUGGUGUAGCAGUGAAAUGCGUAGAUAUCAGGAGGAAUACCGAUGGCGAAGGCAGGUCUCUGG